AAGGCUGAGAAAUUAUCUCCCAAGUCACUAGGAAUGCAUAGAUGUGUACUGUUUCUUUUUUUUUUUUUAGAUUUAUUCACAACUCUCUGACAAAAGAAAUUUACGAAGAUGAAAAAGUUUACACUCUUUGAUUUCACAAAUGACAACUCCCUACGUGAAGGAGAGACUUCAUGGAUACAGGACCUUCCCAGUGAUGACAGAGAAGUUGCAAGUCUACUAAAAGCAAAUGAAAAUGUGUUAGUAAGUUGGCCAGCAGAAGAGAAAAAGACAGAGAAACAGUUAGCAAAAGUAAUUUGCAUGAGUGAUGAUCCUCAAGAGUUGGUUCAGAUUAUUCAGAAGAUCUUAGAAGGAAAUGAAAAGACAGAAAUACAAGGGCUUCAAAAAGGAAAAAGAAAACAAAUUGAAACACUAAGCUCAAAGAAUGAAGAGAGGGAAAUUGAUCAAGAACAGAUAUCACGUGAACUAUGA
rnacentral:lncRNA from 1 species